rnacentral:antisense_RNA from 12 species
GAUAGCUAAAAAUAAUUGCUGGAUUUAAUGUUGGAUUAGUAAUGAAUCUAAUAUCUCCUCCCCCAGGAGCCCAUGUAUCAUAAAUUCCACCUAUAAAUAGUGCUUUAAUAACUAACAAAAAUGCUCCAAUACCUAGCAAUAUCAAGUGAAUUCCUAGUAUUGUUGUCAUUUUAUUUUUAUCUCUCCA